GACGAACGCUGGCGGCGUGCUUAACACAUGCAAGUCGAUCGAUGAAGCCUAGCUUGCUAGGUGGAUUAGUGGCGAACGGGUGAGUAAUACGUGAGUAACCUACCUUUAACUCUGGGAUAAGCCCGGGAAACUGGGUCUAAUACCGGAUACGACCAAUCUCCGCAUGGGGUGUUGGUGGAAAGCGUUAUGUAGUGGUUAUAGAUGGGCUCACGGCCUAUCAGCUUGUUGGUGAGGUAACGGCUCACCAAGGCGACGACGGGUAGCCGGCCUGAGAGGGUGACCGGCCACACUGGGACUGAGACACGGCCCAGACUCCUACGGGAGGCAGCAGUGGGGAAUAUUGCACAAUGGGCGCAAGCCUGAUGCAGCGACGCCGCGUGAGGGAUGACGGCCUUCGGGUUGUAAACCUCUGUUAGCAGGGAAGAAGAGAGAUUGACGGUACCUGCAGAGAAAGCGCCGGCUAACUACGUG
rnacentral:rRNA from 1 species